GUGUCAGCAGCCGCGGUAAGACGUAGGAUGCAAGCGUUGUCCGGAUUUAUUGGGCGUAAAGAGUUCGUAGGUGGUUUGUUAAGUCUGAUGUUAAAGACCGAGGCCCAACCUCGGGACUGCAUUGGAUACUGGCAGACUGGAGUACAGUAGAGGCAAGCGGAAUUCCCAGUGUAGCGGUGAAAUGCGUAGAUAUUGGGAAGAACACCAGUGGCGUAAGCGGCUUGCUGGGCUGUAACUGACACUGAGGAACGAAAGCCAGGGGAGCGAAUGGGAUUAGAUACCCCCGUAGUCC
rnacentral:rRNA from 1 species